AUUGAACGCUGGCGGCAGGCCUAACACAUGCAAGUCGAGCGGAGCGGCGGACGGGUGAGUAAUGCCUAGGACUCUGCCUGGUCGUGGGGGAUAACGUCCGGAAACGGGCGCUAAUACCGCAUCCUCUCACCUGAUCCUAGGUCGGAUUAGCUAGUUGGUGGGGUAAAGGCAGACCAAGGCGACGAUCCGUAACUGGUCUGAGAGGAUGAUCAGUCACACUGGAACUGAGACACGGUCCAGACUCCUACGGGAGGCAGAAGUGGGGAAUAUUUGACAAUGGGCGAAAGCCGGAUCCAGCCAUGCCGCGUGUGUGAAGAAGGUCUUCGGAUUGUAAAGCACUGUAAGUUGGGAGGCGUUACCAACAGAAUAAGCACCGGCUAACUUCGUGCCAGCAGCCGCGGUAAUUC
rnacentral:rRNA from 1 species